rnacentral:rRNA from 1 species
GUGGGGAAUAUUGGACAAUGGGCGCAAGCCUGAUCCAGCCAUGCCGCGUGAGUGAUGAAGGCCUUAGGGUUGUAAAGCUCUUUCGUCAGGGAAGAUAAUGACGGUACCUGAAGAAGAAGCCCCGGCUAACUUCGUGCCAGCAGCCGCGGUAAUACGAAGGGGGCUAGCGUUACUCGGAAUCACUGGGCGUAAAGCGCACGUAGGCGGCUUUCUAAGUCAGGGGUGAAAUCCUGGAGCUCAACUCCAGAACUGCCUUUGAUACUGGAGAGCUUGAGUUCGGGAGAGGUGAGUGGAACUGCGAGUGUAGAGGUGAAAUUCGUAGAUAUUCGCAAGAACACCAGUGGCGAAGGCGGCUCACUGGCCCGAUACUGACGCUGAGGUGCGAAAGCGUGGGGAGCAAACAGGAUUAGAUACCCCAGUAGUCC